UUGAAGCCCAAUGGAGUUGAGCAACUUGCUGAAGGUCACACAGCUCGUUGCCUGCUCCUGCAGAGGGCUGCUGCCAUGUCAUGAGCACUCUCAAGCAGCUCUAGCGAGGGGUCAUGUCAUGAGGAACUGAGACCUUCUGCCAAUAGCUGUGUGAAUGAGCCAUCAUGGAGGCAGGUCCUCCAGCCCCAGUCAAGCCUUCAGAUGAUGGCAGCCCCAGCUGAUGAUUUGACUGCAAACUCUCAUGCAACCAGGAAUAAGAACCACUCAGCAGAACCACUCCCAAUUUCCUGACCCACAGAAACUGUGAGAUAAAUAAAUAUU
rnacentral:lncRNA from 1 species